GAAAAGAAACCAACAGGGAUUGCCUUAGUAACGGCGAGUGAAGCGGCAAAAGCUCAAAUUUGAAAUCUGGCACCUCCGGUGUUCGAGUUGUAAUUUGGAGAGGCAUCUUCUGGAGGGGCCCAGCCUAUGUGCCUUGGAACAGGACAUCAUAGAGGGUGAGAAUCCCGUACUUGGCUGGAUGUUCCCUCCUGUAUGUAGUGUCUUCUACGAGUCGAGUUGUUUGGGAAUGCAGCUCAAAAUGGGUGGUAAAUUUCAUCUAAAGCUAAAUAUUGGCGAGAGACCGAUAGCGCACAAGUAGAGUGAUCGAAAGAUGAAAAGCACUUUGAAAAUAGAGUCAAACAGUACGUGAAAUUGUUGAAAGGGAAGCGCUUAGGACCAGACUCAGCCUUUGGUGGACAUCCGCCCAUCGGGGCGGUGCACUUGUCAUUGGUUGGGCCAGCAUGGGUUGGGACGGUGGGAUAAAGGCUCGGGAAAUGUGACUCCUUUAUGGAGUGUUAUAGUCCCGGGUGGCAUGCCACCAGUCCCGACUGUGGAACGCGCAUCGGCACGGAUGCUGGCAUAAUGGUUUUCA
rnacentral:rRNA from 2 species